UGAAAUUGAACUCGCUGUGAAGAUGCAGUGUACCCGCGGCAAGACGGAAAGACCCCGUGAACCUUUACUAUAGCUUGACACUGAACAUUGAGCCUUGAUGUGUAGGAUAGGUGGGAGGCUUUGAAGCGUGGACGCCAGUCUGCGUGGAGCCGACCUUGAAAUACCACCCUUUAAUGUUUGAUGUUCUAACGUGGAUCCGUAAUCCGGGUUGCGGACAGUGUCUGGUGGGUAGUUUGACUGGGGCGGUCUCCUCCUAAAGAGUAACGGAGGAGCACGAAGGUUGGCUAAUCCUGGUCGGACAUCAGGAGGUUAGUGCAAUGGCAUAAGCCAGCUUGACUGCGAGCGUGACGGCGCGAGCAGGUGCGAAAGCAGGUCAUAGUGAUCCGGUGGUUCUGAAUGGAAGGGCCAUCGCUCAACGGAUAAAAGGUACUCCGGGGAUAACAGGCUGAUACCGCCCAAGAGUUCAUAUCGACGGCGGUGUUUGGCACCUCGAUGUCGGCUCAUCACAUCCUGGGGCUGAAGUAGGUCCCAAGGGUAUGGCUGUUCGCCAUUUAAAGUGGUACGCGAGCUGGGUUUAGAACGUCGUGAGACAGUUCGGUCCCUAUCUGCCGUGGGCGCUGGAGAACUGAGGGGGGCUGCUCCUAGUACGAGAGGACCGGAGUGGACGCAUCACUGGUGUUCGGGUUGUCAUGCCAAUGGCACUGCCCGGUAGCUAAAUGCGGAAGAGAUAAGUGCUGAAAGCAUCUAAGCACGAAACUUGCCCCGAGAUGAGUUCUCC
rnacentral:rRNA from 1 species